UACGAAGGGGGCUAGCGUUGCUCGGAAUCACGUGGGCGUAAAGCGCACGUAGGCGGAUUGCUAAGUCAGGGGUGAAACUCCUAGGACUCAACUCCAGAACUGGCCUUUGAUACUGAAGAUCUUGAGUUCGGGAGAGGUGAGGUGGAACUGCGAGUGUAGAGGUGAAAUUCGUAGAUAUUCGCAAGAACACCAGUGGCGAAGGCGGA
rnacentral:rRNA from 1 species